rnacentral:ncRNA from 1 species
GAAAAUUUAUUAAAAGUUUAUUUUAUAUAUAAAUUUUAGUGUUAAUUUUUUAUUAUUUUAAUAAUAAUAAUAAUAAAUUAUAUAGUAAAUAAAAUUAAAAAUUUAAGAAAUUAAGAUUUAGUAAUAUAAAAAUUAAUAACAAAUUUUGUGCCAGCAGUUGCGGUUAUACAAAAAUUAAAUUAAAUUAUUUCAGUUUAUAAAAAAUAAAUUUUUUUAAAAUAAAUAUUAAAUUAUUAGGUGAAAUUUUAAUUUAAUUAAAUUUUAUAUGAGAAUUAUGUUUUAGUAAAUUUUAUUAUAAACUAGGAUUAGAUACCCUAUUAUUAAAAAUUUAAAUUAUAAUACUAAAAUAGUAAAUAAUUAUUUAUUGAAACUUAAAUAAUAUGGCGGUAUUUUAGUUCAUUUAGAGGAAUCUGUUUAAUAAUUGAUAAUCCACGAAUAAAUUUACUUAAUUUAAAAUUUUAUAUAUCGUUGUUAAAAAAAUAUUUUUUAUUAAUUUAUAAUAUUUGAAAAUUAUAAUAAAAAAUUAAUUCAGAUCAAGAUGUAGAUUAUAAUUAAGAAUAUAAUGGAUUACAAUAAAUUUAUUUAAAUGAAUAUAAAAUUGAAAAAUUUUAUUGAAGGUGGAUUUAAAUGUAAUUUUAUUUAAUUUAUUAAAAUGAUUAAAAAUUAAAAUAUGUACAUAUUGCCCGUCACUUUCAUUUAAAAAUUGGAAUAAGUCGUAACAAAGUAGAGGUACUGGAAAGUGUUUCUAGAAAGAU